rnacentral:rRNA from 1 species
GAUGAACGCUGGCGGCGUGCCUAAUACAUGCAAGUCGAGCGAACGGACGAGAAGCUUGCUUCUCUGAUGUUAGCGGCGGACGGGUGAGUAACACGUGGAUAACCUACCUAUAAGACUGGGAUAACUUCGGGAAACCGGAGCUAAUACCGGAUAAUAUUUUGAACCGCAUGGUUCAAAAGUGAAAGACGGUCUUGCUGUCACUUAUAGAUGGAUCCGGGCUGCAUUAGCUAGUUGGUAAGGUAACGGCUUACCAAGGCAACGAUGCGUAGCCGACCUGAGAGGGGUAUCAGGCAAAACGGAACCUGAACACGGGCCAGACUCCUAAGGGAAGCAGCAGUUGGGAAUUUUUCCCAAUGGGCGAAAGGCUGAACGAGGCAAGGCGCGUGUGUGAAUAAGGUCUUCGGAUUGUAAAACCCUUUUAGUUGGGAAGAAAGAUAGGUGUAAGAAACUGUGCAGUUUUGACGUGAACCAAAUAAGAAGGCCCGGCUAACCUCGUG